rnacentral:rRNA from 1 species
CAAACUCCGAAUGCCAAUUAAUUUAACUUGGGAGUCAGAACAUGGGUGAUAAGGUCCGUGUUCGAAAGGGAAACAGCCCAGACCACCAGCUAAGGUCCCAAAAUAUAUGUUAAGUGGAAAAGGAUGUGGCGUUGCCCAGACAACUAGGAUGUUGGCUUAGAAGCAGCCAUCAUUUAAAGAGUGCGUAAUAGCUCACUAGUCGAGUGACACUGCGCCGAAAAUGUACCGGGGCUAAACAUAUUACCGAAGCUGUGGAUUGUCCUUUGGACAAUGGUAGGAGAGCGUUCUAAGGGCGUUGAAGCAUGAUCGUAAGGACAUGUGGAGCGCUUAGAAGUGAGAAUGCCGGUGUGAGUAGCGAAAGACGGGUGAGAAUCCCGUCCACCGAUUGACUAAGGUUUCCAGAGGAAGGCUCGUCCGCUCUGGGUUAGUCGGGUCCUAAGCUGAGGCCGACAGGCGUAGGCGAUGGAUAACAGGUUGAUAUUCCUGUACCACCUAUAAUCGUUUUAAUCGAUGGGGGGACGCAGUAGGAUAGGCGAAGCGUGCGAUUGGAUUGCACGUCUAAGCAGUAAGGCUGAGUAUUAGGCAAAUCCGGUACUCGUUAAGGCUGAGCUGUGAUGGGGAGGAGACAUUGUGUCUUCGAGUCGUUGAUUUCACACUGCCGAGAAAAGCCUCUAGAUAGAAAAUAGGUGCCCGUACCGCAAACCGACACAGGUAGUCAAGAUGAGAAUUCUAAGGUGAGCGAGCGAACUCUCGUUAAGGAACUCGGCAAAAUGACCCCGUAACUUCGGGAGAAGGGGUGCUCUUUAGGGUUAACGCCCAGAAGAGCCGCAGUGAAUAGGCCCAAGCGACUGUUUAUCAAAAACACAGGUCUCUGCUAAACCGUAAGGUGAUGUAUAGGGGCUGACGCCUGCCCGGUGCUGGAAGGUUAAGAGGAGUGGUUAGCUUCUGCGAAGCUACGAAUCGAAGCCCCAGUAAACGGCGGCCGUAACUAUAACGGUCCUAAGGUAGCGAAAUUCCUUGUCGGGUAAGUUCCGACCCGCACGAAAGGCGUAACGAUUUGGGCACUGUCUCAACGAGAGACUCGGUGAAAUCAUAGUACCUGUGAAGAUGCAGGUUACCCGCGACAGGACGGAAAGACCCCGUGGAGCUUUACUGUAGCCUGAUAUUGAAAUUCGGCACAG